UCACUCAAGCACCUCCAAAAAUUACAGAGGGCUCCCAACCAAGACAACAAUGAUUGAUACUUCAUAUCCAUGAUGAGACAAUGACGAGGUCAAGUGAGAUCAGAAUUUGUGUACUUUAUUUAACAAAACAAAACCAAAAGACCAUUCAGUUUGUGAAACUGUUCUCAUAUUUCAUCAUUAGUGAAAAUGAAAACAGACAGCAUGUUUAGUUCUCCCUUAUAUUUUGAAACAUCUUUAAUUGGUG